rnacentral:rRNA from 1 species
AUAUACGACCGUACCGCAAACCGACACUGGUGCGCGAGAUGAGUAUUCUAAGGCGCUUGAGAGAACUCAGGAGAAGGAACUCGGCAAAUUGACACCGUAACUUCGGAAGAAGGUGUGCCCUAUUAGUGUGUAGUUAACAACGAAGCAUGAAUGGGUUGCAAAAAAUCGGUGGCUGCGACUGUUUAUUAAAAACACAGCACUCUGCAAACACGAAAGUGGACGUAUAGGGUGUGACGCCUGCCCGGUGCUGGAAGAUUAAAUGAUGGGGUGCAAGCUCUUGAUUGAAGUCCCAGUAAACGGCGGCCGUAACAAUAACGGUCCUAAGGUAGCGAAAUUCCUUGUCGGGUAAGUUCCGACCUGCACGAAUGGCGUAACGAUGGCCACACUGUCUCCUCCUGAGACUCAGCGAAGUUGAAAUGUUUGUGAUGAUGCAAUCUCCCCGCGGAAAGACGGAAAGACCCCAUGAACCUUUACUGUAGCUUUGUAUUGGACUUUGAACAGAUCUGUGUAGGAUAGGUGGGAGGCUUUGAAGCAGGGUCGCUAGAUCUUGUGGAGCCAACGUUGAAAUACCACCCUGGUGUGUUUGAGGUUCUAACCUAGGUCCAUUAUCUGGAUCGGGGACAGUGCAUGGUAGGCAGUUUGACUGGGGCGGUCUCCUCCCAAAGCGUAACGGAGGAGUUCGAAGGUACGCUAGUUACGGUCGGACAUCGUGACGAUAGUGCAAUGGCAUAAGCGUGCUUAACUGCGAGACUGACAAGUCGAGCAGAUGCGAAAGCAGGACAUAGUGAUCCGGUGGUUCUGUAUGGAAGGGCCAUCGCUCAACGGAUAAAAGGUACUCUGGGGAUAACAGGCUGAUACCGCCCAAGAGUUCAUAUCGACGGCGGUGUUUGGCACCUCGAUGUCGGCUCAUCUCAUCCUGGGGCUGUAGCCGGUCCCAAGGGUAUGGCUGUUCGCCAUUUAAAGAGGUACGUGAGCUGGGUUUAAAACGUCGUGAGACAGUUUGGUCCCUAUCUUCCGUGGGCGCUGCAGAUUUGAGGAAGCCUGCUCCUAGUACGAGAGGACCGGAGUGGACACACCUCUGGUGUAUCGGUUGUCACGCCAGUGGCAUUGCCGAGUAGCUAAGUGUGGAAGAGAUAACCGCUGAAAGCAUCUAAGCGGGAAACUCGUUUCAAGAUGAGAUCUGCCGGGGCCUUGAGCCCCCUAAAGAGUCGUUCAAGACCAGGACGUUGAUAGGUCAGGUGUGGAAGC